rnacentral:rRNA from 1 species
UGGGGGAUAUUGCACAAUGGGCGAAAGCCUGAUGCAGCGACGCCGCGUGGGGGAUGAAGGCUUUCGGGUUGUAAACCUCUUUCGCUAUCGAACAAGGCCCGCUUAGGGUGGGUUGAGGGUAGGUGGAGAAGAAGCGCCGGCUAACUACGUGCCAGCAGCCGCGGUAAUACGUAGGGCGCGAGCGUUGUCCGGAAUUAUUUGGCGUAAAGGGCUUGUAGGCGGCUUGUUGCGCCUGCUGUGAAAACGCGGGGCUUAACGUCACGCGGGCAGUGGGUACGGUCAGGGUUGAGUGUGGUAGGGGAGAGUGGAAUUCCAGGUGUAGCGGUGGAAUGCGCAGAUAUCUGGAGGAGCAGCGAUAGCGAAGGCAGGUCACUGGGCCAUGACUGUCGCUGAGGAGCGAAAGCAUGGGUAGAGAAAAGG